GAUGAACGCUGGCGGCGUGCCUAAUACAUGCAAGUCGGGCGAGCAGACGAGAGUGCUUGCCCUCCCUGACGUUAGCGGGGGGCGGGCGAGUAACACGUGGGGAACCUACCUAUGAGACGGGUAUAACUACGGGAAACCGUAGCUGAAACCGGAUAAUAUUUAGCUUCGAAGGAAGCAAUAGGGAAAGACUGUUCUGCUGUCACAAAGAGAAGGACCCGCGGUUUAUUAGCUAGUUGGGGAGGUAAGGGCUCACAAAGGGAACGAUACAUAGCCGCCCGCAGAGGGUGAUUCGACACACUGGCACUGAGAAACGGCCCCGACUCCUGCGGGAGGCAGCAGUACGGAAUCCUCCGCGAUGGACGAAUGUCUGACGGUGCAAUGCCGCGUGAAUGCAGAAGGUUUUCGGAUCGUAAAACUCUGUUGUCAUUGAAGAACUAGUACGUUAGUAACUGAACGUACCUUGACGGUACCUUACCAGAAAGCCACGGCUAACUACGUG
rnacentral:rRNA from 1 species